UACGAAGGGGGCUAGCGUUGCUCGGAAUCACUGGGCGUAAAGGGUGCGUAGGCGGGUCUUUUAAGUCAGGGGUGAAAUCCUGGAGCUCAACUCCAGAACUGCCUUUGAUACUGGCGAUCUCGAGUCCGGGAGAGGUGAGUGGAACUGCGAGUGUAGAGGUGAAAUUCGUAGAUAUUCGGAAGAACACCAGUGGCGAAGGCGGCUCACUGGCCCGGUACUGACGCUGAGGUGCGAAAGCGUGGGGAGCAAACAGG
rnacentral:rRNA from 1 species